rnacentral:tRNA from 1 species
GACAUAGGGUAGCCUAGUGGACAUGGCAUCUGCCCGGUAAGCGGAACACAGUGGGUUCGAUUCCCAUCCCUGGAUACU